GGGUGGUAAUGCCGGAUGCUCCAGUUGAUCGCAUGGUCUUCUGGGAAAGCUUUCGCGGUAUGGGAUGGGGUCGCGUCCUAUCAGCUUGACGGCGGGGUAACGGCCCACCGUGGCUUCGACGGGUAGCCGGCCUGAGAGGGCGACCGGCCACAUUGGGACUGAGAUACGGCCCAGACUCCUACGGGAGGCAGCAGUGGGGAAUAUUGCACAAUGGGCGCAAGCCUGAUGCAGCGACGCCGCGUGAGGGAUGGAGGCCUUCGGGUUGUAAACCUCUUUUAUCGGGGAGCAAGCGAGAGUGAGUUUACCCGUUGAAUAAGCACCGGCUAACUACGUGCCAGCAGCCGCGGUAAUACGUAGGGUGCAAGCGUUAUCCGGAAUUAUUGGGCGUAAAGGGCUCGUAGGCGGUUCGUCGCGUCCGGUGUGAAAGUCCAUCGCUUAACGGUGGAUUCGCGCCGGGUACGGGCGGGCUUGAGUGCGGUAGGGGAGACUGGAAUUCCCGGUGUAACGGUGGAAUGUGUAGAUA
rnacentral:rRNA from 1 species